CCCUAGCGGCGAACGGGUGAGUAACACGUGGGCAACCUGCCCCUAGCACUGGGAUAAGCCCGGGAAACCGGGUCUAAUACCGGAUAUGAGGGCCGAGGGCAUCCUCGGCCUUGUAAAGGAUUCCGGCUAGGGAUGGGCCCGCGGCCUAUCAGCUUGUUGGUGGGGUGAUGGCCUACCAAGGCGACGACGGGUAGCCGGCCUGAGAGGGCGACCGGCCACACUGGGACUGAGACACGGCCCAG
rnacentral:rRNA from 1 species